rnacentral:lncRNA from 1 species
GUUCAUAUCUUUGCUGAACACUUGUCAAGGAGCCAGUCAGUGUGGGUCUGAUAUAGUAAAUAAAAAGCAAUAAUGGUGGAAACAGAAUGGAUAGUUCACAGUCUGAACAGUGUCCAUAAUAAACAGCUGUGAACCUGCUUUAUGAGAGUAGACUCUACCCUGGAGGCAUAUUCAGGAUACAAACGUACCCUUCUAUUUUACAAAAUUAGAUGCUGCCCUUGGGAAAACUUCCUGAAGACCACUGCUCUACACCAAUUAUCAUCAGCUUUAUCUGUCUGAAGCUGAUGUUCAAGCAGGGCUCUGAAAUCAACUGUGAAAUCUUGACUCUGGGAACGCACAGAAAGUGGUUCGAGAAAUGACAAAUCAGGUUCUCUGGAGAAAGGUUCUAAGCAAAGUAAGUUUUAGUACCGGUCUUGCUAUUAUCAAUUGAUGAGACAAUUCAAAAAUGAGUUUGUUUUCCUAUAUAAAAUCAAUACAUUAACAUUUAAGAUAGUUUCCUACUAAUACUUUAAUAUUCUUAAUGUUUUUAUGCACCUUUUAAAGCCACCAAAUAUUUAUUACUUUUGUCAGUCUGUAGAAUAUUUAUUCAGCCAUUAUUAUCUACAUUAGAGAUUUUGUGUUGCUUUGUAAAAUCUGAGCCUCCCCAAAAGCCUUAUUUGUUUGUUUUCAUUGCAAACGGUACUGCAGGAGGUGAGAGGAACAUUCACUGAGUAACUCCAUUCCAAAUCCUCAAUGGAAAUAAGGCUAUGUAAUACACACAUACAUAAAAUGCCAAUACCUUACUAUGUUCCACUGUGUUCACAUCAGGCUUUCUUAAGAAAAACUGAUAUAUUAUCCACAUUUUAGAGAUCAUGAAAAAGACCCUUAGAAAUGUUGAGAAACUCAACCAAGUUCAUAGAGCUAGGUCCCCCUGAAUUCAAAAUCAUAAUCUGUUUAUUAUGCCCUUUUACCUUCCAGAAGGGAUUCUUCUGGGGGAUGAAGGGGUGCCCCUUGUAAUAUAAAGGCUGCUUGUGAAUUGCUUCCCUGGUCAUGGAAAUUUAUCACUCCCUUAUUCACUUACUUGACCAUAAGUGCUUCAAGUUACUUACUUGGUUAUAUUUUCCAUGGAAACAUUGAGUUUGAUUUUCAAAUACUAAA